CACGUUCAUGUGAUGUGACGUAUUCAGCACCUCCCCCUUCACACGCGGUCACGUUCAGUGUUCACUGUCAUGUCACUGAGGCUAAAGAGACAACGCUUUACAGUCUAUGCUAACAACCGACAACAGUUUGCUCCAAAAGAUGGCAGAAAUAGCCGGAUCGUCAUCCAGAGAGGAAAUGCUGAAGGAAAGUGGGCCUCCCGCCAUACUUGGACAAGCCUCACCAGCCUCACCCAGACGACGAGACGGCGUACAGAGAGGAGGUCGAAAACCUGACAUCUUGGUGCCAGGAUAACAACCUCCAUCUCAACGUCAGCAAAACCAAGGAGCUGAUUGUGGAUUGCAGGAAGCAGCAAAGAGAGGGACACGCCCCCCAUCGCCAUCAAUGGGACUACGGUAGAGAGAGUCAGCAGCUUCAGGUUCCUCAGUGUCCAUCACGGACACAGCUGCAUCACGGCCUGGUACGGCAGCUGCACCGCCCUCAAUCGUAAGGCUUUCCAAAGGGUGGUGAAAACUGCACAGAACAUCACCAGGGCGGAGCUGCCAUCCAUGGAGGACCUUUACUCCCAGCGGCUCAGGAAGAAAGCCCUCAGUUUAUGUUUAUGUUUAUUUUAGAAAUGUUUUGGCACAUUUGUUCCAAUUCUGCUAAUGGUAUAUUGCAGGAUAUUUAAGUCUCCCAUGUACUUUUUAAAUUAAUAAUAGUAUGUUCAUCUUGAUGUUUAACUUGUAAUAUUGUAAUCAUCUUAGUUAGAAAUGCUGUUUCCACCCCAUCCUCUGCUGCUGAAUGAUUUUAUAUAUUGUUACUGAAAGUGCUUGUCUUUGAUAUUAUAAUGAUUCCACCAGAAAGUCA